GAUGAACGCUGGCGGCGUGCCUAAUACAUGCAAGUCGAGCGAACGGACGAGAAGCUUGCUUCUCUGAUGUUAGCGGCGGACGGGUGAGUAACACGUGGAUAACCUACCUAUAAGACUGGGAUAACUUCGGGAAACCGGAGCUAAUACCGGAUGAUAUUUUGAGCCGCAUGGUUCAAAAGUGAAAGACGGUCUUGCUGUCACUUAUAGAUGGAUCCGCGCUGCAUUAGCUAGUUGGUAAGGUAACGGCUUACCAAGGCAACGAUGCAUAGCCGACCUGAGAGGGUGAUCGGCCACACUGGAACUGAGACACGGUCCAGACUCCUACGGGGGGCAGCAGUAGGGAAUCUUCCGCAAUGGGCGAAAGCCUGACGGAGCAACGCCGCGUGAGUGAUGAAGGUCUUCGGAUCGUAAAACUCUGUUAUUAGGGAAGAACAUAUGUGUAAGUAACUGUGCACAUCUUGACGGUACCUAAUCAGAAAGCCACGGCUAACUACGUG
rnacentral:rRNA from 1 species